GUGGGGAUAGCUUAGUUGGGAGAGUGUCAUACUGAAGAUCUAAAGGUCGUGUGUUUGAUACACGCUCACCGCA
rnacentral:tRNA from 1 species